GACGUAGGGCGCGAGCGUUGUCCGGAAUUAUUGGGCGUAAAGAGCUCGUAGGCGGUCUGUCGCGUCGAAGUGUGAAAACCCGGGGCUCAACUCCGGGGCUUGCAUUCGAUACGGGCAGGCUAGAGUUCGGUAGGGGAGGUCUGGAAUUCCUGGUGUAGCGGUGAAAUGCGCAGAUAUCAGGAGGAACACCGGUGGCGAAGGCGGGUCUCUGGGCCAAAACUGACGCUGAGGAGCGAAAGCGUGGGGAGCAAACAGG
rnacentral:rRNA from 1 species